rnacentral:sRNA from 1 species
GCCGGAUGCGGUGGUGCACACAUGUAAUCCCAGCUGCUUGGGGGCUGAGGCAGGAGGAUCUUGAGUUCAAUGCUAAUCUCAGCAAAAGUGAGGCACUAAGCCACUCAGUGAGACCCUGUCUCUA